UAAGAAUAUAUAAGAGACGGUGGAAUUUGGAAAGUUUCAACUGUUCUUUCUUCGUUUCUUGCUUUCCGCGUUCGUCA
rnacentral:sRNA from 1 species